UCCAUUUACUUGCACUGAAGGAGGAUCCACAGCUAUAUAAUGAUUAUAACAUUACAGACAGUUGUGGGUGGGACCUUUUGACUUGGACCAAUAAGCAAACACCUAAAAUUUAAUAUCUAGAGUUGCUUUUUCAGGUGAACAACAGUCUCAGCCUCAAGAUAUCUGAUAGUUGUUGUUACAUUUACGACUGUGGAGGAAACAAUUUAGAGAAGCAGCCAUUGCACUGUGAACUCAUUUCUUCUCUUGUCUUGCCUGAAUGUCAACAGCAUGAUCAGAGCAAUCACUUUAGCCAUAAUCACUACUUUAUGGUUAACAGUUUGUGUGGUCUGUUCUCCUGUCAUUCAGCAGUCUCCCAAACAUCUUCUACAGACUGUGAAGGAAAAACAGGCAAACCUUUCUUGUCAUCAUGGUGACAACAGCUAUCCAUACCUGUACUGGUAUCAGCAGAAAAGCAAUGGUGGUUCUUUAGAACUUAUUGGAAUGCUCAGUUUUGAUGCACCUUCUCCAGAGGAUAAAUUCAAACUCAGAUUUAACAUCAUGGGACAUGCUACAAAGGAUGCAAACCUGCUCAUCUCCAACAUAUCUGCUGAAGACAGCGCAGUGUAUUUCUGUGCAGCUAGUGCGCACAGCCAUAAAAUUCAUUAUAAUCACUGGCAAAAACCUGACUUUGCACCUGUUUGA